AUGGUAGGAUAGAGGCCUACCAUGGUUUUAACGGGUAACGGGGAAUUAGGGUUCGAUUCCGGAGAGGGAGCCUGAGAAACGGCUACCACAUCCAAGGAAGGCAGCAGGCGCGCAAAUUACCCAAUCCCGACACGGGGAGGUAGUGACAAUAAAUAACAAUAUGGGGCUCUUACGAGUCUCGUAAUUGGAAUGAGUACAAUUUAAAUCUCUUAACGAGGAACAAUUGGAGGGCAAGUCUGGUGCCAGCAGCCGCGGUAAUUCCAGCCCCAAUAGCGUAUAUNAAAGUUGUUGCAGUUAAAAAGCUCGUAGUUGAAUUUCGGAAUCUGUCCGUCGGUCGGGCUUCACUGUCCGUACUGGUGUGAUGGGUUUCUACCUUCUGAAUAACCGGCAUGUCAUUAAUUUGGUGCGCCGGGGAAGCAGAACUAUUACCUUGAAAAAAUUAGAGUGCUUAAAGCAGGCUAUCGCCUGAAUAGAUUAGCAUGGAAUAAUAAAAUAGGACGGCAUGGUUCUAUUUUGUUGGUUUCUAGGAUCACCGUAAUGAUUAAUAGGGAUAGUUGGGGGCAUUAGUAUUCAAUUGUCAGAGGUGAAAUUCUUGGAUUUAUUGAAGACUAACUUCUGCGAAAGCAUUUGCCAAGGAUGUUUUCAUUAAUCAAGAACGAAAGUUAGGGGAUCGAAGACGAUCAGAUACCGUCGUAGUCUUAACCAUAAACUAUGCCGACUAGGGAUCGGACGAUGUUAAUUUUUUAAUGACUCGUUCGGCGCCUUACGGGAAACCAAAGUGUUUGGG
rnacentral:rRNA from 1 species